UCUAAUUUUCUCUCUCCUUUCUCUCUAACUUUCCCAGAGCUUAAAUUUACCGGUUCUCGGCUCUGGUGAUUUUGUUUCGUUCUACAGUAAGUUUUUUUUAUUAUCUAAUAACAUUGAAACUAUGAUAUUUUUACUAACCAAGGGUGUAACCCCACGAAAGCGAGGAGUCGGUUUCAUACUGAAGCUAGAAGGAACUUGGAGGAGAAAACCAAGCAGUAUGUUAGACAAGUUAACAAGGACAGCGUGAGAUGAUCUUUGAUGUGGGUGAUCAAGUUUGGGUCCAUUUGAGAAAUGAGAGGUUUCCAAAUGAAAGGAAAUCAAAGCUAAUGUCAAGGAUUAAUGGUCUUUUGACAGUCACACACAUAAUCAACAACAAUGCCUAUAAACUCGAUAUGUAAGGUAAGAAUGAUGUUUGUGAUAAUUUUAAUGUUUCUAACUUGGCUUUUUUUUGUUGCAGAUAAUCUAGAUUUGAGGACAAAUCUUUUUCAAGAGAGAGGGGAUGAUGUGAUCAUGCGAAUGCAACAUGAAACAGUUAAAGAAGAGAUCAACAAUGAGGAUGUCUUAGCUAUUCCAUAAGAUCCAAUAACUCGUGCUAGACCAAAGAAGCUGACACUGGAAUGCUUAAGUCUAUUUAUGAAAAAUGUCGGCCGAAUUUCCAAUCACGAAGCCUUCCUCUUUGUAGAGUUUUAUCCAACUAACUGAUAAACACUUGGCAAAUCCUGUUGUGUGUGCUCUUUUUCUCUAACUUGGUUUUGUCUCACUAGAUUUUUCAAGUUAGGUUUUUAAUGAGGUCACAACUGUCCUAGUUAAUUUGCUGAUAUAUCACGUGUGAGUGAAUGAACACUUGUUAUCAAGCCUUAUGUAUAACUAGUUGCAGAU